GCGGAUAUAGUCGAAUGGUAAAAUUUCUCUUUGCCAAGGACUUUGCCAAGGAGAAGAUGCGGGUUCGAUCCCCGCUAUCCGCC
rnacentral:tRNA from 1 species